UGGGGAAUUUUGUACAAUGGGCGAAAGCCUGAUACAGCAAUGCCGCGUGUGUGAAGAAGGCCUUCGGGUUGUAAAGCACUUUUGUCCGGAAAGAAAUGGCCCUGGUUAAUACCUGGGGUCGAUGACGGUACCGGAAGAAUAAGGACCGGCUAACUACGUGCCAGCAGCCGCGGUAAUACGUAGGGUCCAAGCGUUAAUCGGAAUUACUGGGCGUAAAGCGUGCGCAGGCGGUUGUGCAAGACCGAUGUGAAAUCCCCGAGCUUAACUUGGGAAUUGCAUUGGUGACUGCACGGCUAGAGUGUGUCAGAGGGGGGUAGAAUUCCACGUGUAGCAGUGAAGUGCGUAGAGAUGUGGAGGAAUACCGAUGGCGAAGGCAGCCCCCUGGGAUAACACUGACGCUCAUGCACGAAAGCGUGGGGAGCAAACAGG
rnacentral:rRNA from 1 species